ACCCGCAGAGGGAGGGGAGGGGCUGAGCUGUGAGGAGAGCGGGGCCCAAGAACCAUGUCUACGCGGGAGUCCUUUAACCCGGAAAGUUACGAAUUGGACAAAAGCUUCCGGCUAACCACAUUCACUGAACUGAAGGGCACAGGCUGCAAAGUGCCCCAAGAUGUCCUGCAAAAAUUGCUGGAAUCUUUACAGGAGAACCACUUCCAAGAAGAUGAGCACUUUCUGGGGGCCGUUACGCCAAGGCUGGGCAUUGGGAUGGAUACUUGUGUCAUUCCUUUGAGGCACGGUGGGCUUUCCUUGGUUCAAACCACAGAUUACAUUUACCCGAUCGUAGACGACCCUUACACGAUGGGCAGGAUAGCAUGUGCCAAUGUCCUCAGUGACCUCUAUGCAAUGGGGGGUCACGGAAUGUGACAAUAUGCUGAUGCUCCUUGGAGUCAGUAAUAGAAUGACCGACAGGGAAAGGGAUAAAGUGAUGCCUCUGAUUAUCCAAGGUUUUAAAGACGCAGCUGAGGAAGCAGGAACGCCUGUAACGGGCGGCCAAACAGUACUAAACCCCUGGAUUGUCCUGGGAGGAGUCGCUACCACUGUCUGCCAGCCCAAUGAAUUUAUCAUGCCAGACAAUGCAGUGCCAGGGGACGUGCUGGUGUUGACAGAACCCCUGGGGACACAGGUUGCAGUGGUUGUGCACAAGUGGCUGGAUAUUCCUGAGAAAUGGAAUAAGAUUAAACUAGUGGUCACCCAAGAUGAUGUAGAGCUGGCCUACCAGGAGGCGAUGAUGAACAUGGCGAGGCUCAACAGGACAGCUGCAGGACUCAUGCACACGUUCAAUGCCCACGCCGCCACUGACAUCACGGGCUUCGGGAUUUUGGGCCAUGCGCAGAACCUGGCCAAGCAGCAGGGGAAAGAGGUGUCGUUUGUAAUUCACAACCUCCCGGUGCUGGCCAAGAUGGCUGCGGUGAGCAAGGCCUGCGGAAACAUGUUCGGCCUCAUGCACGGGACCUGCCGGGAGACUUCAGGCGGCCUUCUGAUCUGUUUACCACAUGAGCAAGCAGCUCGGUUCUGUGCAGAGAUAAAGUCCCCCAAAUAUGGUGAAGGCCACCAAGCAUGGAUUAUUGGGAUUGUAGAGAAGGACAACCGCACAGCCAGAAUCAUAGACAAACCCCGGAUCAUCGAGGUCGCACCACAAGUGGCCACUCAAAACGUGAAUCCCACACCCGGGGCCACCUCUUAAUCUAGACAGAAAUAGCUGUUUGGUUUUGUUUUUAAAUAGAUCUAUUUCCCUUAUCACUUCAAUUAAAGACUAUAAACAACAAAAAUCUCAUUGUGUCUACACAUCGGGGUGACCUUAGGUCGGUUUGUAAGUGGAUACAAUUAAUAAAAUAAAAUCCAUUGC